rnacentral:rRNA from 1 species
ACGGCUCAGUAACACGUGGAUAACCUGCCCUUGGGUCCGGCAUAACCCCGGGAAACUGGGGAUAAUUCCGGAUAACGCAUAUAUGCUGGAAUGCUUUAUGCGUAAAAUGGAUUCGUCUGCCCAAGGAUGGGUCUGCGGCCUAUCAGGUAGUAGUGGGUGUAAUGUACCUACUAGCCGACAACGGGUACGGGUUGUGAGAGCAAGAGCCCGGAGAUGGAUUCUGAGACAUGAAUCCAGGCCCUACGGGGCGCAGCAGGCGCGAAAACUUUACAAUGCGGGAAACCGUGAUAAGGGGACACCGAGUGCCAGCAUCAUAUGCUGGCUGUCCAGGUGUGUAAACUACACCUGUUAGCAAGGGCCGGGCAAGACCGGUGCCAGCCGCCGCGGUAACACCGGCGGCCCGAGUGGUGAUCGUGAUUAUUGGGUCUAAAGGGUCCGUAGCCGGUUUGGUCAGUCCUCCGGGAAAUCUGACGGCUCAACCGUUAGGCUUUCGGGGGAUACUGCCAGGCUUGGAACCGGGAGAGGUAAGAGGUACUACAGGGGUAGGAGUGAAAUCUUGUAAUCCCUGUGGGACCACCUGUGGCGAAGGCGUCUUACCAGAACGGGUUCGACGGUGAGGGACGAAAGCUGGGGGCACGAACCGGAUUAGAUACCCGGGUAGUCCCAGCCGUAAACGAUGCUCGCUAGGUGUCAGGCAUGGCGCGACCGUGUCUGGUGCCGCAGGGAAGCCGUGAAGCGAGCCACCUGGGAAGUACGGCCGCAAGGCUGAAACUUAAAGGAAUUGGCGGGGGAGCAC